rnacentral:rRNA from 1 species
GAUGAACGCUGGCGGCGUGCCUAAUACAUGCAAGUCGAGCGAACAGAUGAGAAGCUUGCUUCUCUGAUGUUAGCGGCGGACGGGUGAGUAACACGUGGGUAACCUACCUAUAAGACUGGGAUAACUCCGGGAAACCGGGGCUAAUACCGGAUAGUAUUUUGAACCGCAUGGUUCAAUAGUGAAAGACGGUUUCGGCUGUCACUUAUAGAUGGACCCGCGCCGUAUUAGCUAGUUGGUAAGGUAACGGCUUACCAAGGCGACGAUACGUAGCCGACCUGAGAGGGGGAUCGACCACACUGGAACUGAGACACGGUCCAGACUCCUACGGGAGGCAGCAGUAGGGAAUCUUCCGCAAUGGGCGAAAGCCUGACGGAGCAACGCCGCGUGAGUGAUGAAGGUCUUCGGAUCGUAAAACUCUGUUGUUAGGGAAGAACAAAUUUGUUAGUAACUGAACAAGUCUUGACGGUACCUAACCAGAAAGCCACGGCUAACUACGUGCCAGCCGCCGCUGUAA